UACGGAAGGCAGCAGUGGGGAAUAUUGGACAAUGGGCGCAAGCCUGAUCCAGCCAUGCCGCGUGAGUGAUGAAGGCCUUAGGGUUGUAAAGCUCUUUUAUCCGGGACGAUAAUGACGGUACCGGAGGAAUAAGCCCCGGCUAACUUCGUGCCAGCAGCCGCGGUAAUACGAAGGGGCUAGCGUUGCUCGGAAUCACUGGGCGUAAAGGGCGCGUAGGCGGCGUUUUUAAGUCGGGGUGAAAGCCUGUGGCUCAACCACAGAAUGGCCUUCGAUACUGGGACGCUUGAGUAUGGUAGAGGUUGGUGGAACUGCGAGUGUAGAGGUGAAAUUCGUAGAUAUUCGCAAGACACCGGUGGCGAAGGCGGCCAACUGGACCAUUACUGACGCUGAGGCGCGAAAGCGUGGGGAGCAAACAGGGAUUAGAU
rnacentral:rRNA from 1 species